UACAGAGGAGCCAAGCGUUGUCCGGAUUGACUGGGCGUAAAGCGCACGCAGGCAGAUGCGCGCGUGGGGUGUGAAAUCUGGCCGCUUAACGGCCAGGCGCCAUCCCAUACGGCGUGUCUGGAGGGCUGCAGAGGUCGAUGGAAUUGCCGGUGUAGUGGUGAAAUGCGUAGAGAUCGGCAGGAACACCCAGGGGGAAACCAGUCGACUGGGUAGCACCUGACGCUGAGGUGCGAGAGCGUGGGGAGCGAACCGG
rnacentral:rRNA from 1 species